rnacentral:rRNA from 1 species
UACGGAGGAUGCAAGCGUUAUCCGGAAUGAUUGGGCGUAAAGCGUCCGCAGGUGGCUGUGUAAGUCUGCUGUCAAAGAGCGAAGCUCAACUUCGUAAAGGCAGUGGAAACUACACGGCUAGAGUGCGUUCGGGGCAGAGGGAAUUCCUGGUGUAGCGGUGAAAUGCGUAGAGAUCAGGAAGAACACCGGUGGCGAAGGCGCUCUGCUAGGCCGCAACUGACACUGAGGGACGAAAGCUAGGGGAGCGAAAUGGG